rnacentral:rRNA from 1 species
GAUGAACGCUGGCGGCGUGCCUAAUACAUGCAAGUCGAGCGAACAGACGAGGAGCUUGCUCCUCUGACGUUAGCGGCGGAAGGGUGAGUAACACGUGGAUAACCUACCUAUAAGACUGGGAUAACUUCGGGAAACCGGAGCUAAUACCGGAUAAUAUAUUGAACCGCAUGGUUCAAUAGUGAAAGACGGUUUUGCUGUCACUUAUAGAUGGAUCCGCGCCGCAUUAGCUAGUUGGUAAGGUAACGGCUUACCAAGGCAACGAUGCGUAGCCGACCUGAGAGGGUGAUCGGCCACACUGGAACUGAGACACGGUCCAGACUCCUACGGGAGGCAGCAGUAGGGAAUCUCCCGCAAUGGGCGAAAGCUUGACGGAGCAACGCCGCGUGAGUGAUGAAGGUCUUCGGAUCGUAAAACUCUGUUAUUAGGGAAGAACAAAUGUGUAAGUAACUAUGCACGUCUUGACGGUACCUAAUCAGAAAGCCACGGCUAACUACGUG